GGCCGAGUGGCGGAAUGGCAGACGCUGGGGACUUAAAAUCCCCUGCCCGAACGGGCGUGUGGGUUCGACUCCCACCUCGGCUA
rnacentral:tRNA from 1 species